AACGAACGCUGGCGGCAUGCCUAACACAUGCAAGUCGAACGAUUGCCUUCGGGUGAUAGUGGCGCACGGGUGCGUAACGCGUGGGAAUCUGCCCUUAGGUUCGGAAUAACAGCUGGAAACGGCUGCUAAUACCGGAUGAUAUCGCGAGAUCAAAGAUUUAUCGCCUGAGGAUGAGCCCGCGUUGGAUUAGGUAGUUGGUGGGGUAAAGGCCUACCAAGCCGACGAUCCAUAGCUGGGCUGAGAGGAUGAUCAGCCACACUGGGACUGAGACACGGCCCAGACUCCUACGGGAGGCAGCAGUGGGGAAUAUUGGACAAUGGGCGCAAGCCUGAUCCAGCAAUGCCGCGUGAGUGAUGAAGGCCCUAGGGUUGUAAAGCUCUUUUAACCGGGAAGAUAAUGACUGUACCGGGAGAAUAAGCCCCGGCUAACUCCGUG
rnacentral:rRNA from 1 species